rnacentral:rRNA from 1 species
UACGGAGGGGGCUAGCGUUGUUCGGAAUUACUGGGCGUAAAGCGCACGUAGGCGGCUUGGUAAGUUAGAGGUGAAAGCCUGGAGCUCAACUCCAGAAUUGCCUUUAAGACUGCCGAGCUAGCAGGUGAGAGAGGUGAGUGGAAUUCCGAGUGUAGAGGUGAAAUUCGUAGAUAUUCGGAAGAACACCAGUGGCGAAGGCGGCUCACUGGCUCAUACUGGACGCUGAGGUGCGAAAGCGUGGGGAGUAAACAGG